rnacentral:lncRNA from 1 species
UCUGUUAUUAUCAUUAACUCAUUGUAAAUAAAUUUCAUGUUGUUUUAAACUCUUAAGGGGGUUCGCGGGUCUAAAUCAUUUAUAUAGGAUUUCUCUAUAUUUUUCUAUAAAUGAACUUUAUCUUAUAGUUAAUAGAAAAAUAAAAUAAAAAAGUGGGGUCACCGUUCAUUUGCGCUCACAAUCUGCCUUCGAAAGAAGCAUACAUUUUUGUAAAGGUGUUUUUUUUUCUGUUGAAGUAAUAGGAGAAAUAAAGGUAAUAUCGAAAUAAAAAAAAGAAAUUUAUUACAGAAAUCGCUAAAAUUUUACAAUAAUUUAGUUUUUGUACAGCUUAUAUGGAAAUUAUAUUAAAAAAGAU